rnacentral:lncRNA from 1 species
GUAGAUCUUUAGAUCCUUUUACAAUAAAUCUUUUUAUAGUCCUAUUGAAAAAGAUACUGUCUUUUGUGAUUAAGAUGGAUUUCUUACGGGAUGAUUCUGUUAGGGAUGCUCAAGAGACUACUAGUGGUUGCAGUGCUAACUCCUCCUAAACCCUUCCUUUCGUAUAAUCUACUGUUGACAAUAUAUAUAAAGUAUUCACAAACAUCCUCACAAAAAGAUUGGAACAAGACUGGAUUUGAAUCAACCAAGAGAACAAGCUGGAUUUUGAAAAGGCUAUUUGACAAUAGAUUAUAUGCACACUAUCAACC